rnacentral:lncRNA from 1 species
UUAUAUUCCAAUCCGCUUUGUGAAUUGGCUACGGGAUCACAACCAUCAGCAUCGGUUAGGUUUACAUCUGCAGAUUCCUGUACAGGCAACUGGAAUUUAUAGCCGGCCAUCGAGCAUACUUCUGCGCUACGCAUCAGAACGUUUUAUCGCGACAUCAAAGCAACUCUAGCUGCGUCUUCCUCUGAUGCUAAAACUUGGCCUUAGUUUGCGAACUCG